ensembl:snoRNA
CCUCCAAUUUUUGGCAGAGACCAGGUUGUGGUCUUGCUCCCUCUGAUAUAGAAAGGCAGAAGGAAAGGGCUCCGGCCACCUCAGAGUCAAGGCUUCAGUGCCAGCGGCUUCCCAUCUAUCGGUUUUAUCCUCAAACACCAGAACACGG